GACUCGAUAGCUCAGUUGGUAGAGCAAUACACUUUUAAUGUAUGGGUCCAGGGUUCGAGCCCCUGUCGGGUCACAA
rnacentral:tRNA from 1 species